rnacentral:rRNA from 1 species
AUUGAACGCUGGCGGCAAGCCUACCACAUGCAAGUCGAACGAGUGGCGGACGGGUGAGUAAUGUCUGGGAAACUGCCUGAUGGAGGGGGAUAACUACUGGAAACGGUAGCUAAUACCGCAUACCAUCGGAUGUGCCCAGAUGGGAUUAGCUAGUAGGUGGGGUAAAGGCUCACCUAGGCGACGAUCCCUAGCUGGUCUGAGAGGAUGACCAUCCACACUGGAACGGAGACACGGUCCAGACUCCUACGGGAGGCAGCAGUGGGUAAGAUUGCACAAUGGGCGAAAGCCUGAUGCAGCCAGGCCGCGUGUAUGAAGAAGGCCUUCGGGUUGUAAAGUACUUUCAGCGGGGAGGCGUUACGCGCAGAAGAAGCACCGGCUAACUCCGUGCCAGCAGCCGCGGUAAUAC